UACGGAGGGGGCUAGCGUUGUUCGGAAUUACUGGGCGUAAAGCGCACGUAGGCGGCUUUGCAAGUUAGAGGUGAAAGCCCGGGGCUCAACUCCGGAAUUGCCUUUAAAACUGCAUCGCUAGAAUUGUGGAGAGGUAAGUGGAAUUCCGAGUGUAGAGGUGAAAUUCGUAGAUAUCGGGAGGAACACCGGUGGCGAAGGCGGCGAUCUGGGUCGAUACUGACGCUGAGGUGCGAAAGCGUGGGGAGCAAACAGG
rnacentral:rRNA from 1 species